rnacentral:rRNA from 1 species
GGACGAACGCUGGCGGCGUGCUUAACACAUGCAAGUCGAACGGUAAGGCCUUUCGGGGUACACGAGUGGCGAACGGGUGAGUAACACGUGGGUGAUCUGCCCUGCACUUCGGGAUAAGCCCGGGAAACUGGGUCUAAUACCGGAUAGGACUGCGCGGUGCAUGCCGUGUGGUGGAAAGAUUUAUCGGUGCAGGAUGGGCCCGCGGCCUAUCAGCUUGUUGGUGGGGUAAUGGCCUACCAAGGCGACGACGGGUAGCCGGCCUGAGAGGGCGACCGGCCACACUGGGACUGAGACACGGCCCAGACUCCUACGGGAGGCAGCAGUGGGGAAUAUUGCACAAUGGGCGCAAGCCUGAUGCAGCGACGCCGCGUGAGGGAUGACGGCCUUCGGGUUGUAAACCUCUUUCAGCAGGGACGAAGCGUGAGUGACGGUACCUGCAGAAGAAGCACCGGCCAACUACGUG